rnacentral:rRNA from 1 species
CAGCCGCCGCGGUAAUACGAAGGGGGCUAGCGUUGUUCGGAAUUACUGGGCGUAAAGCGCACGUAGGCGGAUUUUUAAGUCAGGGGUGAAAUCCCGAGGCUCAACCUCGGAACUGCCUUUGAUACUGGAGAUCUUGAGUUCGGAAGAGGUUGGUGGAACAGCUAGUGUAGAGGUGAAAUUCGUAGAUAUUAGCUAGAACACCAGUGGCGAAGGCGGCCAACUGGUCCGAUACUGACGCUGAGGUGCGAAAGCGUGGGGAGCAAACAGGAUUAGAGACCCCAGUAGUCCCUGUCUCUUAUAC